rnacentral:rRNA from 1 species
GUCAGCCGCCGCGGUAAUACGGAGGGUGCAAGCGUUAAUCGGAAUUACUGGGCGUAAAGCGUGCGUAGGCGGUUCGUUAAGUCUGCUGUGAAAGCCCCGGGCUCAACCUGGGAAUGGCAGUGGAUACUGGCGAGCUAGAGUGUGUCAGAGGAUGGUGGAAUUCCCGGUGUAGCGGUGAAAUGCGUAGAGAUCGGGAGGAACAUCAGUGGCGAAGGCGGCCAUCUGGGACAACACUGACGCUGAGGCACGAAAGCGUGGGGAGCAAACAGGAUUAGAUACCCUGGUAGUCCACGCCCUAAACGAUGCGAACUGGAUGUUGGUCUCAACUCGGAGAUCUAGUGUCGAAGCUAACGCGUUAAGUUCGCCGCCUGGGGAGUACGGUCGCAAGACUGAAACUCAAAG